ACGAACGCUGGCGGCGUGCUUAACACAUGCAAGUCGCACGGAAAGGCCCUGCUUGCAGGGUACUCGAGUGGCGAACGGGUGAGUAACACGUGGGUGAUCUGCCCUGCACUUCGGGAUAAGCCUGGGAAACUGGGUCUAAUACCGGAUAGGAGCCAUUUUUAGUGUGAUGGUUGGAAAGUUUUUUCGGUGUAGGAUGAGCUCGCGGCCUAUCAGCUUGUUGGUGGGGUAAUGGCCUACCAAGGCGGCGACGGGUAGCCGGCCUGAGAGGGUGGACGGCCACAUUGGGACUGAGAUACGGCCCAGACUCCUACGGGAGGCAGCAGUGGGGAAUAUUGCACAAUGGGCGCAAGCCUGAUGCAGCGACGCCGCGUGGGGGAGGACGGCCUUCGGGUUGUAAACUCCUUUCGCUAGGGACGAAGCUUUUUGUGACGGUACCUAGAUAAGAAGCACCGGCUAACUACGUG
rnacentral:rRNA from 1 species